rnacentral:lncRNA from 1 species
UUGUGGAAAAAUGCAUCAUUAUCUCAUCUUGAUCCACAUACCUCUAUUUGAAGGAAAGAGGCGCAAAAGAUUAUCCAUUUGCAAAGAAUAGCAAAUCAUAUGCCUGAAGCAUUUAUAGAUUUGAAAAGGAUAACAAAAUCGCAUAUCCUCAAAGUGAAUGUGAUUCACAAAUACAUAUUCAAUGUUGGAAGAAUAUGAACAUGA